rnacentral:rRNA from 1 species
AACGAACGUUGGCGGCAGGCUUAACACAUGCAAGUCGAGCGCCCCGCAAGGGGAGCGGCAGACGGGUGAGUAACGCGUGGGAAUCUACCCAUCUCUACGGAAUAACGCAUGGAAACGUGUGCUAAUACCGUAUACGUCCUUCGGGAGAAAGGUUUAUCGGAGAUGGAUGAGCCCGCGUUGGAUUAGCUAGUUGGUGGGGUAAAGGCCUACCAAGGCGACGAUCCAUAGCUGGUCUGAGAGGAUGAUCAGCCACACUGGGACUGAGACACGGCCCAGACUCCUACGGGAGGCAGCAGUGGGGAAUAUUGGACAAUGGGCGCAAGCCUGAUCCAGCCAUGCCGCGUGAGUGAUGAAGGCCCUAGGGUUGUAAAGCUCUUUCACCGGUGAAGAUAAUGACGGUAACCGGAGAAGAAGCCCCGGCUAACUUCGUGCCAGCCGCCGCGGUAAAAC